UUGUUCCUUAGAACAUGACCGUGAACAUGUAACGUAAUGCUACCGGGGAGAGCCAUCUCCUCGGCCCUGCCGGCCCCAGCCUGUUGGCUGGGUGUCGGAAUACGGCGCGGGAUGUCGCCAAGGAACACUGAUUUGCUGAGGCAGACGACAUUACGUUGUACUGCUGACGCCAACUUAAAC
rnacentral:misc_RNA from 1 species